UACGAAGGGGGCUAGCGUUGCUCGGAAUCACUGGGCGUAAAGCGCGUGUAGGCGGUCCGGUAAGUCCGCUGUGAAAGUCGGGGGCUCAACCCUCGGAUGCCGGUGGAUACUGUCGGGCUUGAGUACGGAAGAGGCGAGUGGAAUUCCUGGUGUAGCGGUGAAAUGCGUAGAUAUCUGGAGGAACACCGAUGGCGAAGGCAGGUCUCUGGGCCAUAACUGACGCUGAGAAGCGAAAGCAUGGGGAGCGAACAGG
rnacentral:rRNA from 1 species